UGGCGCCGUCGCCCGAAACUGCCCUACAAAAAAUAGUGGGUGGGUAGGGGAGAGGAGGGAGCCAGCGUCUUCUCUCCUGCAUAGGAAACCUUUCAUGUUCAACAACUAGCUCCACUGUCAAGGCCGGCUUGGUACGGUGCUUCAUAAUUCAUAUCCUUUCUACAAAAGUCGUUAUAGCCAGGCAACAACUCAUGGAUUGAUGUUACACAAGAUUUGACCCAUUUUUUCUUCGAUAGCUAGUAUUGGAAUGGUAUAAUGUUAGAGAGAGAGAGGAUCUUUUGCCACCCCAAGACACAACUCAAAGUGAGUGAUGGUUGUAAUAUUUUUCUUUGGUUGGAUGUAUGGCACCCUAAUGGUUGUCUUUUAGAUAACUAUGGGCAUCGUGUUGUCCAUGAUGCUGGAAAUUCAGUAAGUGCCAAAUUGUCUACCAUUAUUCGUAAUGGUGAUUUGGUACUGUUCUGUUGCAAGGUCAGACCAAUUAGUUGAAUUACAAAGUAAGCUUUCAGAGGUGGAAAUUGGUGAAUAUGACUUGCCUGCUUGGAACCAUAAGAAUGGGAAAUAUGUUUGUUCUGAAACUUGGGAUGCAAUUAGAAAGAAUGAGGUUCGGGUAAAAUGGUGGAAGGUGGUUUGGCAUUCAGUGGCAAUACCUAAACAUGCUUUUCUGUUAUGGCUUGUUUUCAGAGAUGCUAUGAUUACUAAAAGCCGAAUGUGUUGGUUGGGGAUACAUGGGGAUUGUCUUUGUCCUUUCUGUCGUAGUGGAAUGGAAUCAAGAUCCGAAGAAAUAUUAGGAGGCGGUUGCUGAUUGGAGUGUGCUUGAGAUGAGGCAUGACUGCCUAAAAAGUAGUUUGUGUAUCUUGAGCCUUGGUGCAACGGUCUAUAAUUUGUGGAAGCAUAAAAAUGACAUUAAUUCUACAUGGGAAUGCUUUGAGUUUGGAAGAGAUGAUUAUAGCCAAGAUAAAGUGGGAGAUUCGGGCUCGUAUAAUGGCUAAAGGUCCUUAUAAAAAGACUUUCAUGAAUUUGCAGUUUGCGGCUUUGUGGAAUCUUCACAAGAUUUUCUCUUAGCCUGUUAGUUGAUGAUGUUUUCAUGCGUUUGAUUCAUUGUGUUGUAUGGUGUUUUGCAGAUGUAGUUUAUGUUUUGGCUUGUUUAAUUUGUAGGGCUUUUGAGAUUCUGUUCAUCUCUUGCCCUUUGUAAUGUUUGAACCAGUGUUUUUUUUUCUGGUAUGUAAUCCUUGGUUGUUUGGGCUAUAAAAGUUUUCAUUCAUUAAA